UGCCCGGUGGUGUAAUUGGCAACACAUCUGACUCUGGAUCAGAGAAGUCCAGGUUCGAGUCCUGGCCGGGCAG
rnacentral:tRNA from 1 species